rnacentral:rRNA from 1 species
CGGAUUUACUGGGCGUAAAGGGUGCGUAGGCGGUCUUUCAAGUCAGGAGUGAAAGGCUACGGCUCAACCGUAGUAAGCUCUUGAAACUGGGAGACUUGAGUGCAGGAGAGGAGAGUGGAAUUCCUAGUGUAGCGGUGAAAUGCGUAGAUAUUAGGAGGAACACCAGUUGCGAAGGCGGCGCUCUGGACUGUAACUGACGCUGAGGCACGAAAGCGUGGGGAGCAAACAGGAUUAGAUACCCUGGUAGUCCACGCUGUAAACGAUGAGUACUAGGUGUCGGGGGUUACCCCCCUCGGUGCCGCAGCUA